GAUCCCCAUUGCAAAGAGGGGAGGGCUCGCAUCCAGCUGUAGGCCUCUCAUUCAAGGUUCUUGCUGCAGCCAGCAGUGUCCUUGGAGUCUAGUUCAAAGCUGGAGAGAGUGAACCAGGGAGCCAGGAGCCAUUGGUGGAGGGGCUGGCCAGAAGGAAGUGAAGUAUUUCAGCCAGAAUGUAUUGACGCACGACCAGGAAACCACAAGACUGAGUAACUGCCAGUUGUCAUGCAUAAAUCUCAUCAUCAUAUAGCACAUCCAGUCCACAGCUGAGACUAGCAUGUCCUGAACCAUGUCCUGAGAGCUAAAUGAUGGAGAAGUUGGACUGGCCAUGGAGCACUUUAACUGAUUGCUUAGUAAUGGGGUAUUUUUCCUGGAAAGACAACAGAAUCAUUCUAAACUAUUGAUUCUGUCAUGGAUUCAGGCUCCCACGUAGAGGAAAAGAAAGCAAAUGUGAUACAUUUUUCA